GACGAACGCUGGCGGCGUGCCUGACACAUGCAAGUCGGACGGUUCUUGCACCUUCAAGCUUGCUUGCUGGUGCAAGGAUAGUGGCGGACGGGUGAGUAACGCGUGAACAUCUACCCAUUGGAGGGGGACAACCCGUCGAAAGGCGGGCUAAUACCGCGUAAGCCGCGAGGUGAGAGGCUGCCUAUUGGUGGCCGCCGAUGGAUGGGUUCGCGUCCUAUCAGCUGGUUGGUGGGGUAACGGCCUACCAAGGCGAAGACGGGUAGCCGGUCUGAGAGGAUGGCCGGCCACACUGGAACUGAGACACGGUCCAGACUCCUACGGGAGGCAGCAGUGAGGAAUAUUGGUCAAUGGACGAGAGUCUGAACCAGCCAAGUCGCGUGAAGGAAGACGGUUCUAUGAAUUGUAAACUUCUUUUGUGCAGGAAUAAAGUGGUUACGUGUAACCUUUGUAUGUACUGUACGAAUAAGGAUCGGCUAACUCCGUGCCAGCAGCCGCGGUAAUCU
rnacentral:rRNA from 1 species